ACAGUGGCUAAGACUGGAUAGGAAGAUAAAAGGCAUCUUGUAACUUUUAAAGACCUAGUUAAUAGGUAUGCUUUAGGAGGGGCUUGCGCCAUAUUAGUUAGUUGGUAGGGUAAUGGCCUACCAAGACGAUGAUGUGUAGCUGGACUGAGAGGUUGAACAGCCACAUUGGGACUGAGACACGGCCCAAACUCCUACGGGAGGCAGCAGUAGGGAAUUUUCGGCAAUGGAGGAAACUCUGACCGAGCAACGCCGCGUGAAUGACGAAGUACUUCGGUAUGUAAAGUUCUUUUAUCGAGGAAGAAAAGCAAAUGGCGAACCAUUUGUUUGCCGGUACUUGAUGAAUAAGCCCCGGCUAAUUAUGUGCCAGCAGCCGCGGUAAGACAUAAGGGGCAAGUGUUAUCCGGAAUUAUUGGGCGUAAAGGGUGCGUAGGCGGUCUAGUAAGUCAGUGGUGUAAUGGCAACGCUUAACGUUGUCCGGCUAUUGAAACUGCUAAACUUGAGUUAGAUAGAGGCGAGUGGAAUUCCAUGUGUAGCGGUAAAAUGCGUAAAUAUAUGGAGGAACACCAGAGGCGUAGGCGGCUCGCUGGGUCUUAACUGACGCUGAGGCACGAAAGCGUGGGGAGCAAACAGGAUUAGAUACCCUGGUAGUCCACGCCGUAAACGAUGAGUACUAAGUGUCGGGUUAAACCGGUACUGAAGUUAACACAUUAAGUACUCCGCCUGAGUAGUACGUACGCAAGUAUGAAACUUAAAGGAAUUGACGGGACUCCGCACAAGCGGUGGAUCAUGUUGUUUAAUUCGAAGAUACCCGAAAAACCUUACCAGGUCUUGACAUGUUUUUGCAAAAUGAUAGUAAUAUCGUGGAGGUUACCAGAAACACAGGUGGUGCAUGGUUGUCGUCAGCUCGUGUCGUGAGAUGUUAGGUUAAGUCCUAAAACGAGCGAAACCCUUAUCGUUAGUUGCCAGCACGUUAUGGUGGGGACUUUAACGAGACUGCCAAUGAUAAAUUGGAGGAAGGUGAGGAUCACGUCAAAUCAGCAUGCCCCUUAUGACCUGGGCUACAAACGUGAUACAAUGGCUGUUACAAAGGGUAGCUGAAACGCAAGUUCUUGGCCAAUCCCCAAAAACAGUCCCAGUCCGGAUUGAAGUCUGCAACUCGACUUCAUGAAGUUGGAAUCGCUAGUAAUCGCGAAUCAGCAUGUCGCGGUGAAUACGUUCUCGGGGUUUGUACACACCGC
rnacentral:rRNA from 1 species